rnacentral:rRNA from 1 species
GACGCUGGCGGCAGGCCUAACACAUGCAAGUCGAGCGCCCGUAGCAAUACGGGAGCGGCAGACGGGUGAGUAACACGUGGGAACGUGCCCUUUGGUUCGGAAUAACUCAGGGAAACUUGAGCUAAUACCGAAUAAGCCCUUACGGGGAAAGAUUUAUUGCCGAAGGAGCGGCCCGCGUCCGAUUAGCUAGUUGGCGGUGUAAUGGACCACCAAGGCUACGAUCGGUAGCUGGUCUGAGAGGAUGACCAGCCACACUGGGACUGAGACACGGCCCAGACUCCUACGGGAGGCAGCAGUGGGGAAUAUUGGACAAUGGGGGCAACCCUGAUCCAGCCAUGCCGCGUGGGUGAUGAAGGCCUUAGGGUUGUAAAGCCCUUUCGGCGGGGAAGAUAAUGACGGUACCCGCAGAAGAAGCCCCGGCUAACUUCGUGCCAGCAGCCGCGGUAAUACGAAGGGGGCUAGCGUUGCUCGGAAUCACUGGGCGUAAAGCGCACGUAGGCGGAUUCCUAAGUCGGGGGUGAAAUCCUGGAGCUUAACUCCAGAACUGCCUUCGAUACUGGGAAUCUUGAGUCCGGAAGAGGUGAGUGGAACUGCGAGUGUAGAGGUGAAAUUCGUAGAUAUUCGCAAGAACACCAGUGGCGAAGGCGGCUCACUGGUCCGGUACUGACGC